rnacentral:rRNA from 1 species
AUUGAACGCUGGCGGCAUGCCUUACACAUGCAAGUCGAACGGCAGCACGGGAGCAAUCCUGGUGGCGAGUGGCGAACGGGUGAGUAAAGUAUCGGAACGUGCCCAGUCGUGGGGGAUAACGUAGCGAAAGUUACGCUAAUACCGCAUACGAUCUAUGGAUGAAAGCGGGGGAUCGCAAGACCUCGCGCGAUUGGAGCGGCCGAUAUCAGAUGAGGUAGUUGGUGAGGUAAAGGCUCACCAAGCCGACGAUCUGUAGCUGGUCUGAGAGGACGACCAGCCACACUGGGACUGAGACACGGCCCAGACUCCUACGGGAGGCAGCAGUGGGGAAUUUUGGACAAUGGGCGCAAGCCUGAUCAAGCAAUGCCGCGUGCAGGAUGAAGGCCUUCGGGUUGUAAACUGCUUUUGGACGGAGCGAAAAGGCUUCCACUAAUACUGGGGGCUCAUGACGGUACCGUAAGAAUAAGCACCGGCUAACUACGUGCCAGCAGCCGCAGUAACAC